GAUGAACGCUAGCGGCAGGCUUAACACAUGCAAGUCGAGGGGCAGCGCGGGAUAGCAAUAUCCUGGCGGCGACCGGCGGAAGGGUGCGUAACGCGUGAGCGACAUGCCCGUUGCCCGGGGACAACCGGUGGAAACGCCGACUAAUCCCCGAUGGGAUACGAUGCUUCAUGGCAUUGUAUUGAAAGUUACGGCGGCGACGGAUUGGCUCGCGUCCGAUUAGCUGGUUGGCGGGGUAACGGCCCACCAAGGCUGCGAUCGGUAGGGGUUCUGAGAGGAAGGCCCCCCACAAUGGGACUGAGACACGGCCCAUACUCCUACGGGAGGCAGCAGUGAGGAAGAUGGGUCAAUGGGCGGAAGCCUGAACCAGCCAUGCCGCGUGCGGGAAGGAGGCCCUAUGGGCUGUGAACCGCUUUUGCCUGGGGGCAAUAAGGGCGUCGCGCACGUCCGAUGAGAGUACCAGGCGAAUAAGCAUCGGCUAACUCCGUG
rnacentral:rRNA from 1 species